UCUCCGUUGGUGAACCUGCGGAAGGAUCAUUAAUAAUAAGUGUUUUAUGGCACUUUUUUAAAUCCAUAUCCACCUUGUGUGCAAUGUCAGGGUUGAUUUUUCUCUCGAGAGGAUCAACCCCAAACAUCAACUAUAUCUCAACUCUUUGUCUGAAAAAUAUUAUGAAUAAAACAAUUCAAAAUACAACUUUCAACAACGGAUCUCUUGGCUCUC
rnacentral:misc_RNA from 1 species